rnacentral:rRNA from 1 species
AUUGAACGCUGGCGGCAGGCCUAACACAUGCAAGUCGAGCGGAUGAACGGUGCUUUCUCCUGGAUUCAGCGUCGCACGCGUGUGUAAUGCCUAGGAAUCUGCUUGGCAGUGGGUGAUAACGUCUGGAAACGGGCGCUAAUACCACCUACGUCCUGAUGGAGCUACUUGGUGAUCUUCGGACCUUACGCUAUCAGGUGAAUCUAGGUCGGACUAGCUAGUUGGUGGGGUAAAGGCCUACCUAGGCGACCAUCCGUAACUGGCCGGAGAGGCAGAUCAGUCACACUGGAACGUGGACGCGGACCAGAGUCCUACGAGAGGGAGCAGUGGGGAAUAUUGGACAGUGGGCGAGAACCUGAUACAGCCAUGCCGCGUGUGUUAAGAAGGUCUUCGGAGUGUGAAGCACGUUAUGUUGGGAUAAAGCGCAGUAGGUUAAUACCUUGCUGUAGUGACGUUACCAACAAAAUAAGCACCGGCUAACUUCGUG